rnacentral:rRNA from 1 species
AACGAACGCUGGCGGCAUGCCUAACACAUGCAAGUCGAACGAGACCUUCGGGUCUAGUGGCGCACGGGUGCGUAACGCGUGGGAACCUGCCCUUAGGUUCGGAAUAACUCCCCGAAAGGGGUGCUAAUACCGGAUAAUGUCUUCGGACCAAAGAUUUAUCGCCUUUGGAUGGGCCCGCGUUGGAUUAGCUAGUUGGUAGGGUAAAAGCCUACCAAGGCGACGAUCCAUAGCUGGUCUGAGAGGAUGAUCAGCCACACUGGGACUGAGACACGGCACAGACUCCUACGGGAGGAAGGAGUGGGGAAUAUUGGACAAUGGGAGAAAGACUGAUCCAGCAAGGGCGCGUGAGUGAUGAAGGCGUUAGGGUUGUAAAGCUCUUUUACCCGGGAUGAUAAUGACAGUACCGGGAGAAUAAGCUACGGCUAACUCCGUG